rnacentral:misc_RNA from 1 species
GGUAAUUUCGAGGGAACCUACUCUCCUUGUUAUGGUGGUUGGUGUUCCUAAUGUUGGGAAAUCAGCUUUGAUAAAUUCUAUCCAUCAAAUAGCAUCUUCUCAUUUUCCCGUGCAGGAGAAAUUGAAGCGAGCUACAGUUGGCCCAUUGCCUGGUGUUACUCAAGAUAUUGCAGGAUACAAGAUUGCUCAUCAGCCUAGUAUAUAUGUUCUGGACACUCCAGGUGUAUUAGUGCCCAGUAUUCCAGAUAUUGAAACAGGAUUAAAGCUAGCUCUUGCAGGAUCCGUGAAAGAUUCUGUUGUAGGUG